GUUGUCUCUUCCUGUGUGAACUACGUCCCAGGAGCCUACAGAAAAGCGGUGGCUUCUCAAGCCCCUAGGAAGGUGCUUGGCUCCUCCACCUUUGUCACCAGUUCUUCAAGUUCGUCGAGAAAAGCUGAAAAUAAGUAUGCAGGGGGGAACCCAGUCUGUGUGCGCCCAACUCCCAAGUGGCAAAAAGGCAUCGGGGAAUUCUUCAGGCUGUCCCCUAAAGAGUCUAAAAAGGAAAACCAGGCUCCUGAAGAAGCAGGAACCAGUGGCUUAGGAAAAGCAAAGAGAAAAGCUUGUCCUUUGCAACCUGAUCACAGAGAUGAUGAAAACGAAUAG
rnacentral:lncRNA from 1 species